rnacentral:rRNA from 1 species
GAUGAACGCUGGCGGCGUGCUUAACACAUGCAAGUCGAACGAUGAAGCCCAGCUUGCUGGGUGGAUUAGUGGCGAACGGGUGAGUGACACGUGAGUAACCUGCCCUUGACUCUGGGAUAAGCCUGGGAAACUGGGUCUAAUACUGGAUAUGACUUCUCAUCGCAUGGUGGGGGGUGGAAAGAUUUAUUGGUCUUGGAUGGACUCGCGGCCUAUCAGCUUGUUGGUGAGGUAAUGGCUCACCAAGGCGACGACGGGUAGCCGGCCUGAGAGGGUGACCGGCCACACUGGGACUGAGACACGGCCCAGACUCCUACGGGAGGCAGCAGUGGGGAAUAUUGCACAAUGGGCGCAAGCCUGAUGCAGCGACGCCGCGUGAGGGAUGACGGCCUUCGGGUUGUAAACCUCUUUCAGUAGGGAAGAAGCGAGAGUGACGGUACCUGCAGAAGAAGCGCCGGCUAACUACGUG